rnacentral:lncRNA from 1 species
UGACAGAGAAACUUUGCUGUACAACAGAAGUUUUCUUAAUUCUGAAUCACACUCACAUUUUUAUUUGGUCUAUAGUGGAGAAAUUGGAGAUGAGUGUCUCUGCUGCUUUGUAUAAAUUAUCUUUGGUGAACGAAUUCUUGACGACUUGAUUUGGCUCGCUUUUUUCUACAUUCUCCCAAGUGGAUAUUUAUCGAAGUGGGGAUGCCGAAAUUUUUUCCGUUUCAUAUGGACUGUAUAUUUGUUCCACAAUAGUCCUCCCUUGAUAUUGCAUGCACAACGUUGCUGAACAGAAUUGUGGAGCAUAUCUCUUCUCGCUGCGGCCUUCUCCGUUUUUAAUCAAAUUGUGGCCGUGUUUGAUUUGAUGAUCUACAUCUAAAGAGAGUUAUUCUUGCACUAUUUUACUGUUUGUUUCUUUUAUUUCUGUUAUAUUGGAAUAGGAAUUCGUUUCCUCUCUAAGGAUUUCAUUGGGCACCAGAAUUCAUUAAUGGAACCAUCAUGUUCUGCAGACUGUAAGAUAAUCUCUAAGGAAUUCGAGUCAUAAACGUUUCUGUAGAAAACUUGUUUCAUUUUGUAGAGUGAACAGCGUGGUUUGGGAAAGUAUCUCCAUCCGGUAAUUGUGCUUUGAUCAUAGUUGAGUCCAAAAUAGUUGCAAUUGAUGGCAUUGUUCCAAACAUAAAUAUUCUGUUGGUUGUGUCCUAUGUCUCACUAUUUCUAGAUGUUUAAUCAGGGAUCUAUGUCAAAAAAAAUCUUCUAUUUGUAUAUAGAUACUUUAUUCUUUAUUGUUAUAUUUAAUCUGAAGAUCAUUGUGAUUCAUAUAGAUUUUGGAAUUCAAUAUAGUAAUGUGGUGUUUGAUAGUGUUGUUGAGUUCAUUUUGGAUUUUGUUUUGGAUUAGUCAAAAGUUCAUUAAGACUUGCAGCAAUCUUUGUGUAAUCUAAUCUAGAUGUUCAGUCUGCUCAAUAUUGGUAAACGGACUAGAACACCGGCUCUCUUUCAUCUCAACUGUUGAUCUACAACUACUUGGUAGUCUACAGACAAACCAAAGAUGAGUAGUAUCUCAACUAUAUACGUGUGAUUCUGCGUCACAAUCAGGUAUUUUUUAAUUCAUUUUUUUAUUCAUAUUUUUAAAGUUUCACCUCAUUCAUAUACUAACUUGAGCGUCGGACUGCUAACCUUUUUUGCAGGUACCCCUCUGACCCCAAAACGAAAGUCUUACCGCGGUAGUUGUCUUCGUCUUCAGCCUUACAUCGUUUCAGUAUGGAAUAGUUAUAAUUGAAUGUUCUAAAUCUUCUUCAUAAUAGUCUUUUGCAUGCAUGCUGAAGUUCUGAUGUUUUUUUUUGUUUUGUCAAUGGAGUGCUAGAUAAUGUUUCUUAGAUUGCUGAUUGUGUUUACUUGAUAGAUUUGAGUUGCGACAGGUUGAUAGUGUUUUCUUAAUGGAUUUGCAUUGCGUUCAGGUUGCCGAUCGCGUUUUCUUAAUGGAUUUGCGAUGCAUGCUUCAGAUUGUUGAAGCACACACAUGAAACUGACUUGACACAAGUUUUCAUUUGAUAAGUAAGAGAUAUGUUUAACCAUUAUGCAGCAAAGCCAGGAUUAGCUUCAUAUCUAAAACCUUAAGAACAGAGAACAGCUCCAGAUAGAUAAAUCAAACUUCUUCAAAUUGAAUUUCGAACAUGUUUUGCUGCAGCAGCUUGGUUUGUCAAAACAAUAACCUUCUUCAAAGCAUGCAUCAGCCUGGCUUUUUGAUUUGGUGAUAUCUAUAAAAUAAUUUUUGUUUUCAAUUCUGAGAGCGUAUUUUUCUUGAAGUUGUCUUUUGAUCUUGUAUAAGUUGUUGAAGUUUGUGUUUCUUCCGUGUUGAGGUUUUUGUGUUUCUAUUAUCAGGGACUUAGAUCUUUGGCUAAGUGCAAAUUAUGGAAUUAGAUACCAUCUUUGAAUCUUUGAUAUAGCCCAAGCACGUCUCAGUGUCGUGUGUCAGAUACUGACGCUUCCUACUAUGGCUGCACUUUAAUUUGGUCAUCACUACCAAGACUUUUACGCUUUAGUCUUUGUUUGAUUUGAUACACAACAUCUACUUUUGUCGGAUUCUUUGAGUUGUGUGAGUUUUGCAGGGAGAUGCAUUUAUCCCGUUUCGCAGAAAGCAUGGUGGAUAUCCAGAAUGCCUUGAUACAACAACCAGAACAGGAAAUAACUCUAGAUAGCUAAAUCAAUUUUUUAUGGGUCAUUCUUUACUAUUUUUAUUUCCGACCUUUGAUUGCAAGGCAUACAAAUUAAUUUCUGAAGUGUUUUGCUUCAGCGUGGUUGUUUCCAACUAAUAACCUUCUUCAGGGCAUGGAGCUUAGCAUUUCAAUUUUUGAUUUGGUGAUCUCCAUUAAAUUCUUUUUAUAUUGAUUCUAUUUUUUGGUUCUGAAACCAUAUCUUCUUUGAUUUGGUGUUUACUCUCUGGUGUUGCAGGAUAUUUAAUAUGUUAACAGACGAUUUCUUCUUGUUCUAUUUUCCUCUUGUUUGAUCUUCAUGGCUGUUGAUUUUUGCUUUCUUGAUUCUUAGGUUUGAUUUGGUUUUUGUUAGUUUUGACCUUGGAAGUUACUGUCUACUAUUAUUUUGUUAGGGUUUUAAAUGAUUGUUCUUUUGUGUAUACAUAUGGGUGACCUUGGAAGUCACUUUUUUCUACAUUCUCCCAAGUGGAUAUUUAUCGAAGUGGGGAUGCCGAAAUUUUUACCGUUUCAUAUGGACUGUGUAUAUUUGUUCCACAAUAGUCCUCCUUUAUUGCAUGCUUAACAUUGCUGAACAGAAUUGUGGAGCAUAUCUCUUCUCGCUACCUUCUCCGUUUUUAAGCAAAUUGUGGCCGUGUUUGAUUUGAUGAUCUACAUCUAAAGAGAGUUAUUCUUGCACUCUUUUACUGUUUGUUUCUUUUAUUUCUGAUAUAUUGGAAUAGGAAUUCGUUUCCUCUCUAAGGAUUUCAUCGGGCACCAGAAUUCAUUAUUAGAACCAUCA